UACGUAGGUGGCGAGCGUUGUCCGGAAUUACUGGGUGUAAAGGGCGUGUAGGCGGGGAUGCAAGUCAGAUGUGAAAUACCGCGGCUUAACCGCGGGGCUGCAUCUGAAACUGUGUCUCUUGAGUGUCGGAGAGGAAAGCGGAAUUCCCAGUGUAGCGGUGAAAUGCGUAGAGAUUGGGAGGAACACCGGUGGCGAAGGCGGCUUUCUGGACGACAACUGACGCUGAGGCGCGAAAGCGUGGGGAGCAAACAGG
rnacentral:rRNA from 1 species